rnacentral:rRNA from 1 species
CCUACGGGAGGCAGCAGUGAGGAAUAUUGGUCAAUGGACGAGAGUCUGAACCAGCAAAGUAGCGUGAAGGAUGACUGCCCUAUGGGUUGUAAACUUCUUUUAUAUGGGAAUAAAACGUUCCACGUGUGGGAUUUUGUAUGUCACAUAUGAAUAAGGAUCGGCUAACUCCGUGCCAGCAGCCGCGGUAAUACGGAGGAUCCGAGCGUUAUCCGGAUUUAUUGGGUUUAAAGGGGGCGUAGGUGGAUUGUUAAGUCAGUUGUGAAAGUUUGCGGCUCAACCUUAAAAUUGCAGUUGAAACUGGCAGUCUUGAGUACAGUAGAGGUGGGCGGAAUUCGUGGUGUAGCGGUGAAAUGCUUAGAUAUCACGAAGAACUCCGAUUGCGAAGGCAGUUCACUGGACUGCAACUGACACUGAGGCUCGAAAGUGUGGGUAUCAAACAGGAUUAGAUACCCUUGUAGUC